GAUGAAGAACGUAGCAAAAUGCGAUAAGUAAUGUGAAUUGCAGAAUUCAGUGAAUCAUCGAAUCUUUGAACGCACAUUGCGCCCGCCAGUAUUCUGGCGGGCAUGCCUGUUCGAGCGUCAUUUCAACCCUCAAGCACAGCUUGGUGUUGGGACUCGCGUUAAUUCGCGUUCCUCAAAUUGAUUGGCGGUCACGUCGAGCUUCCAUAGCGUAGUAGUAAAACCCUCGUUACUGGUAAUCGUCGCGGCCACGCCGUUAAACCCCAACUUCAGAAUGUUGACCUCGGAUCAGGUAGGAAUACCCGCUGAACUUAAGCAUAUCAAUAAGCGGAGGA
rnacentral:misc_RNA from 1 species